rnacentral:tRNA from 1 species
GUUUUAAUAAUUUAAUAAAAAUAUUGAUCUUGUAAAUCAAACUUAAGCAUAAAACUUUUAAAGCU